UUUCGCUAGCCAACGAAGAAAAAAAAAAACUAUUAUCAAAAAGAGUACAAGGGGUUUUUGAUUCCUGACCUAUCGCCAUCUGCCAGCCAUAGUUCAAUAGUUAUCAAUUGAACCGCUAGAGAGCGUUUGUAUAACUUACAAAAAAAAGGUAAAAAAUCUCAAAUAUGGCUGACGUUGGCAAUGGAAAUUGAUCAAAAUGCCGAAUAUUAGCUACACAUGAAAUGAGGCCGUGACAAAUGACGUGAACAACAAAACUCUCAUGUAGUCAUGUAGUCAUGGAGCGCCCAAGAUUAUUCUGGACUAUGGCAUGUAAUUGUCAACAAAACGUGAUGUAGCCAUUAGUUUUGUGCCGCAAAUGAAAAUAUCACACGUAAAACAAUUGCUUUGAACAAAUGUAGGUUCUUCCUCUUCUCAUCAAGCACGCGGCUACUUUACGUGGCACACGUGGCAGCAAGACUAAUGGAGCGUGUACGGCGCGCGAGGACAAAGUUGAAGACUGAGAAAAAUGGCGAAUGGGAUGCGGAGAUGCAGAGGAAGUUCUACGGAAUCUGUCUUUGUUAUCAGAUCACAUGGAACAAAAUCGUUGAUUCUGAUUUUAAAAAUCAAUUUGAAUUUUUUUAAAGUGGUUUUCUACUUUUCAAGACUUUUUCGUUAAAUGCACUUCUAUUGCUCGGUCGAAAUUUUCGUUUGGCAACAUCACCUUUGCCAUUGUUCCAUUCCAACAUGGCGCGCUCCUUAAUAUGCCUCAAGUCAUGCAGAUUGUAUACGGGUAAACUUUACCCCCAUUAGCUCAUCGUUAUCUAUGUUUCAUGGAUAAUCUUCCUUUAUUCUUUCGUCUAGUUUCUUUGAUUAUUAUGGAUUAUAGCGACGUCAGGUUGAUUUUACUUAGGAAUUUACACGUUGGGUUUUGUGAUCGUGAUUCUGACACAGUGACACUUAAAGUUAAAUAUCGAGGGGCCUUUCUAUUAAUAUCUUCCUGACACACACUGAACCCCAAAGGUGAACUCAGUUUUCAUUCAUUUAUGAUUUAAAAAAUCGAUUUAAACCUUUUUAUUGACAUUCCCUAUUUCAGUUUGUGUCAAACUGCUAUUGUGGUAUGGAAAUAACAGGGUAAAAACAGGGUUUUGCCUGGUUUUCUAUCAGAAUAUUUCACUUUUAAAACAUUUUGAAAAAUAAAAAUGCCCUCUUCAGAUAGACCUUUCUCUGACAGGGGAUCAUUUUAGUUUUGGGAUGAGCAAGAACAUUCAACAAUUGAAUGAGCCUUGAUCACAGAUUCCUUGUAAACUGGAAAACUUCAACUGAUUCAAAACAGUUGAAAUGUUGAGUAGGACACAAUCUUUAGUGGAACGAAUCGAACGUCAUGACAAGUCAACUGGUGUAUUUUUCUCGCAGCAGUGAUGCGACAGAAUCGCUACAUGAUAUUAUUUCCCGAAUAAAUGAGUGCUGGCAAUGGAGGCAUGAUGGCAUCAAAAGUGGAAUGCAUAAUCUGACACAAUAAACGGUAAUCAACAAACUUAAACAUUUGAAAUAGAAUCAUUUUUAGUUUGAAUUCAUUAGCAAACAACUGCUGAAUAAAGACAACAGAACAUAUAUCAAUAUUAUUAGUAGUCUCAUAGACUAUGAAACACGUGACACGAUCGAGUUGCAGCUGACGAAUAGAUCUUUUGGUCUAGUCAACCCAUCAACAAAAACAAAGAAUAUGAAAGUUUUACCUAAUUAUCCGAAAGAACAAAGAACAGGAAACAAUAAACUUGGUCAGCAGAACCGUCGUUAAUCAGGACACGGAAUGAAUUAAUAUUCGUUGUUGCACGGCACCGGGCAAUAAAGAAUCAGAACGCGAGAGUUAAACAAUUGGUGAUUGUGGAGUUUGGGACUCUUGUAGUCGUUGUCACGGUUGUUAUAUUGCAGUGGCGACAGCAAGGCAGUUUCAUAGCAGACACUGAAGAGAAAGGGAAGCGCUGGGGAAGUAUCUUCUUUUGUUUUCUUGUGCAUUUAAAAAAAAAAAAGGAAAGC